AGGAUGAACGCUAGCGGCAGGCCUAAUACAUGCAAGUCGAACGAUACCUUCCAGCUUGCUGGAGGGGAAAGUGGCGCACGGGUGCGUAACGCGUAUGCAACCUACCUUAAUCAGGGGGGAUAGCCUCUACGAAAGAGAAGAUUAACACCGCAUAAAAUCACAACCUGGCAUCAGGAAAUGAUCAAAUAUUUAUAGGAUUAAGAUGGGCAUGCGUGACUAUUAGUUUGUUGGUGAGGUACGGUCUCACAAGACUACGAAAUGUCGUAGGGGAUCGUAGAGAGGAUCCGACCCCCCACACUGGUACUGGA
rnacentral:rRNA from 1 species